rnacentral:rRNA from 1 species
AUUGAACGCUGGCGGCAUGCCUUACACAUGCAAGUCGAACGGUAACAGGUCUUCGGAUGCUGACGAGUGGCGAACGGGUGAGUAAUACAUCGGAACGUGCCUAGUAGUGGGGGAUAACUACUCGAAAGAGUGGCUAAUACCGCAUGAGAUCUACGGAUGAAAGCAGGGGAUCGCAAGACCUUGUGCUACUAGAGCGGCCGGUGGCAGAUUAGGUAGUUGGUGGGAUAAAAGCUUACCAAGCCGACGAUCUGUAGCUGGUCUGAGAGGACGAACAGGCACACUGGGACUGAGACACGGCCCAGACUCCUACGGGAGGCAGCAGUGGGGAAUUUUGGACGAUGGGCGCAAGCCUGAUCCAGCAAUGCCGCGUGCAGGAUGAAGGCCUUCGGGUUGUAAACUGCUUUUGUACGGAACGAAAAGCCCUGGGUUAAUACCCUGGGGUCAUGACGGUACCGUAAGAAUAAGCACCGGCUAACUACGUGCCAGCCGCCGCCGUAA